rnacentral:lncRNA from 1 species
UCACUUGGUUCAAAAGAACAGAAGCAGUUUCGUCUGAAAUUUCAACGAAAUCCAAAGCCAAAUUUCGUGUGUAAAUUUCGUGGAAGCAGAUUCGUUCAAAUAAUUCAAGAAAUAGGUAUGUUAAGGCUAAGCCCUAAUUUCAUUUUGCAUGAUCUUGUCAUUACACGAUUUUAUUAAUGAUCCAUAAAGAAAAAUUUAUAUCCCGGAAUUUGCGUAUAUUUUGCUAGUCUCGCAAAUUAUAUAUAUUUUCCUAGUUUUGUAAGUUACCAUAUUCUUCUUAUGGGGAAUUCAUAUUCAGUUGAGUAUUUCCUUCUUACAAUCGAGAGAGUAGAGAGUUUAUAUAUAUACAGUAUUAAAAGUAAUAUUUUACUCACUAUAUUGAGAGAGUUGAGUCAGUAUCAGCAGGUAAGCAUAUCUCCAGAUUAUCUUUGACUUCCAGUUACUUGUAUUUAUUAUAUUAUCAAUUCAGUUUCAGCUUUCAGUAUAUUGCCUUACAUACUCGGUACAUUUUUCGUACUAACGUCCCUUUUUCCUGGGGACGCUGCGUUUCUUGACCACAGGUUCUGAUAGACAGGUCGAGAGCCCUCCAAGUAGGCUAUCAGCUCAGCGGAAGAUGUUGGUGUGCUCCAUUUGCUUCGGAGUUGCUUGUUUGGUUAGUAUGAUUUAGACGUGUAUUGUUUGGUAUGGCGGGACUCUGUCCCAGCCUUUAUGACAUUUAUGUACUCUUAGA